rnacentral:tRNA from 1 species
GUUAAUGUAGCUUAACAACAAAGCAAAGCACUGAAAAUGCUUAGAUGGAUGAUUAUUAAUCCCAUAAACA